ensembl:lncRNA LYPLAL1-DT LYPLAL1 divergent transcript
AGGCACGCGCGGGAGCACGCCCGGGAGCGCGCAUGCGCAGCGCUGCUGGCCCGCUCUCUGAGGAGCUUUCAAUACUUUGGGGUCAAGUUUGAGGCAGUUGUAACUGUACUGAGUUUAGUUUUGCUAAUAAUGGUAUUCUACGUGUGUCAGCCUCGUGUGGACUUCUGUAAUGACUAAUGGAUAUGUUUAUAUCCUGAGCAUUUGCUGUAGGAAUUUUAAAUGCAAUCCCAAAACUCAAGAUUACCUUAUUUGGAGAAAUAUUCGUGUUACUAUGUUUAAAAUUUAAUAGAACCAUAUUUUACCUUUCACUUUGGGACUCGCACAGGAUGUUUGCAGCUCUUGAUAUACAGGAACUAGAACGUGUCUUUUAAGAGCAUGCGGUUUUAUAAUUACGUGGAAGUAUGCUACGCAAGGGAAAAAAGCCUCUUGCUAAUGCUUUGAUGUCUUAAAUGGUACAUCCAAACUUAAGUGAAAUAGAGCUGUGAGGACAUUUUGGGGAGAAGUGACCUAGAUAAGCACUGACUGUUGCAUUCAUCUCUCUUCUUGCUGAUUGUGAUGAUUUCCUGUGCCAUAGCCAUUCAAAGUCUGCCAAAAAAGCUAGCAUGUAAUUUUCUUUCUCUACUUCUCUACAUUUGGAGGAUGGAAAUGUAGAUGUUCUUCCAUUGUGCCAGCCUCCUCAUUCUUCUUUCUCCAAUGCCGCAUCUUCCUGCAAACUUCCUGCCACAACUCAAACAACAGGAAAAUAAAUGAUCUGAAAUCCUCCUGAACUGCAGCCUACCUAUCGUGGUCUCUAUGGGUGCAAACUUCCUUCCAGAAGCUUGUUCAGCUGGCUAAAACAGGACAUUUGCCAAUGCAGCCAAAAGUUGGGUCUUAUACUGGCUACCUCCUAUGCAGAGUGAAAAACUUUUCUUUCUCCCACAGCCACAGACAUCGCUCCUCUUCCAGCUCAACAUCUUUCAAAGGGAUGGCUCUCAGUCCCGAAAUGAAAAGAAAAGGUGGCUUGGUGCAAAUCAUUCUCUUUAUCAGCAAAAGAAAUACCAAAGCCUGUGUCCUUCUGACAUAGUGAGCUGUCGAGGUAGUCCAGGGAAAAGAUGACAGUGAAUUGAGUUAUGGGAUGGCAAUGGAGACUGAAAAGAAUCUGUGUUUAUUAUAUGUAUAUAUAUCAUUAAGGUAGAACUAGUGGAUUUUCUCUGGCACUGCACAUGGGAAGCAAGUGAAGGAGAGUGAUCUAGAAUGACGCCACCAUUUUUGCCUGAGAAAUUCAGUACUCAGAGGUGUCUGUCAUUCAGAGAGAUGGAGGAAACAAGAAGAGGAGCAAGUUGGGGGAGAGGGUAAGCAGAAUCAAAAACUGUGUUGAUACAUUAACUUUAGGAUGCAUAGUAGACAUCAGAGUACAGAUGGAGUUUAGGAGCAAAGUUAUAUAGAGAGAUAAAUUUGAGAACCUGUAAUUCUUUUAUUUGUGGCAGAUAAUUAGACAAAUGAUUUCUAAAUAUUCCCAUGACUACUACAGAACAUCAAUAAAUUCCUUAAUAAUACUAGAAGGAGAAAUGUGGUUUAAAUUUUCCCAGGGGUUUUCUAACCUUUCAGCAAUUCUCUUUCUUUUCAGCAAAUGUUUGGUAAUUAUGCUGGAAUAUUGGGGUGGGGGUGCUUUCUUUUUAAGGCCGCUAUUUCUUUAUGUAUUUCUCUGGUCUUUAAGCUCUCAAGUAGAGUCAUCUGAUGUGAUUUCUCAGCUAAUAUGGGCAUUUUAUAACUUGCCCAGAGCCUCAUUGUUUUCAAUUCUGUUUUUUUUCCCCCAUUAGUUCUUUAACCAUAUUUGUGACUUUGUAUUUUGAGACAUUCUGGAACAUUCUCCGGUAGAAUAAAACUAUAAUACUAUGGGAAUAAAAAAUACAAUACUAAGAAAACAACCAUAGGGCUGGGCGCAGUGGCUCACACCUGUAAUCCCAACACUUUGGGAGGCCGAGGCAGGCGGAUCACAAGAUCAAGAGAUUGAGACCAUCCUGGCCAACAGAGUGAAACCCCAUCUGUACUAAAAAUACAAAAAUUAGCUGGGCAUGAUGGCGCCCACCUGUAGUCCCAGCUACUCGGGAGGCUGAGGCAAGAGAAUUGCUUGAACCUGCUCUUUUUUUGACAUGACCACACCCUGCAGCAGCUCGCCCACUUACUCCACUAUGUGACAUUGGACAAGUCAUUUAGCAUCUCCUGGCACAAUUUCCCCACUUGUACGGUAGAGGUAAUAAUCCUAAUGCCUACCAGAAGGUAAUAAAUAAGGAUUAAAUUAGAUAACACAGGUAAAGUGCUUAGAAUGGUGUUUAGAAUUUAGUAAGUCAUGGCUAUUGUUAUGAUUAUCUUCUGCCCAUAUAAGUGGUUGGAGAACACACAUGAAUAAAUAAAGUUUGGUUGAAUCUG